rnacentral:rRNA from 1 species
CCGCCGGCGACCGGCGCACGGGUGAGUAACACGUAUGCAACCUGGCCGUGACAGAUGGAUAACCGGGAGAAAUCCCGCCUAAUACAACAUAAUGCCGGGAGGGGACAUCCCCUGCCGGUCAAAGGGGGCGACCCCGGUCAUGGAUGGGCAUGCGGCGCAUUAGGUAGUUAGUGGGGCAACGGCCCACCAAGCCGACGAUGCGUAGGGGUUCUGAGAGGAAGGUCCCCCACAUUGGAACUGAGACACGGUCCAAACUCCUACGGAAGGCAGCAG